AGAAGGCACGGUCUGAGAGGUGGGAGGAGAGUCAAGCUCGGGCUCAGUCCCAGAAUACAAAGAAAGGGAGAUGUCCUCCAGUGACAAAUGCUGCUGAGAGUCAGAAGAAAAACAUAGAGCACACCUUCAUUUAAGUGGGCCUGCUCUGCCCAGAAGGACCCUGUGUUAGACCAGCUGAAUUCCAUUCCCUCCCUGCCAUGUUGGUACAAGACCUCCAGAACGCUCACUGCCUUGGAGUCAUCGAAAGCUUUGUGCUGAUGAACAUGGCCACCUUGAAAGGUGUAUUGAAUAUGGCACAGCCAGAAAAUGCAAGGA